GCGCUCGUAGCUCAGCCGGAUAGAGCGCUUGACUACGAAUCAAGAGGUCGCAGGUUCGAGUCCUGCCGAGCGCGCCG
rnacentral:tRNA from 1 species